UAUAAACUUGGUGUGUUUGUAUGUUGCUAUCUUGUUUACUUCAUUUGCUCUCUAUUUAUCUUUUAUUCACUACAUAGCUUUCACUACUUAGUUAAAAUUUUUAAUAACCCAAUGUAAUCCCCUCCUCUUAGGUUGUCUAGCUGGGUAACAAAUGAUAUCAGAGCUUGAUUCUCAACUAGAUAUUAAUCUAACGAUCAAGAGAUAAAGAUUAUGAUAAUAUAAUUAGAAGG
rnacentral:lncRNA from 1 species